CUUCCAGCCGGAGAGCAAACAGGGCAGCAGGGAAGUACGCUGCCAUCCAGUAGGACUUCAGAGAUACCAGGCGCUGGCAGGGGGAAAUCGGAGGGAGGGAAAGGAUGCCUUUCAUGUUUACUGACACCUCCAAAGGUCUGGACAAAAAAGGCUUAGAGUGGUUCACACUCCCAACCCCCUGACUCUUCUGCUAUGUGGAGCGGACUCAAUGCUGGCAAGAAAGGGUGUCCUUUGGCAGCCAGUCAGGACUGCUCAACCGCCUUCUGACUGGAUUGGAUCUAACCCCUGUCCAAGCCACUUGAGUCUGGAUUGUGUGAUGUGGCUUGUCAGAUCAAACUAGAGGCCCUGCUCCAUAUUCCACCACCAUAUGAGGUGUAGUGGAUUGUUACACAAGAAAAGGCCUUUUAAGCAGCAGUUAGGGAUGUGCAGAAAACUCCAGAGGAACGGAAAAUUAAAGUGGUCACCUUAAAUUCCAUGCCAUAUAGGCAGUAAAGACUCUGUACAGUAUACUGGAGGACGACUGUACACUCUACAUUAUGCUGGCUUUACAAAUUAGCCUUCGUAAGGGUGGACAUGAACAUGUUUGUGAACCAUGCUCCACACUUCUGCCUUAUUUGGCUUAAUUAUAACUGGGGUAGCUGGCUGCUCUUGUCUUUGUUGCUCAGUGCCCCCUUCUGUCUCUCCACUUUCCAUCAGAUGCCACCUCAGUUUGCUUUGGUCUUGAAUGUAAUCAGAAUGAACAUAAUUACUGACUCCACCCUGAGCACAGCAUCCAUCCAGUAGCAGUUGGUGUCUACCUUGUGUGUGUUUUUAGAUUGUGAGCCCUUCGGGACAGGGAACCUUCUUAUGUAUUAUUUAUGUUCCAAUGUAAACCACUUUGAGAACUUCUGUAGAAAAGCAGUAUAUAAAUAUUCAUAGUAAUCAUAGUAAUAUCUCGUGUCACUGAG